UUGUUUGUUUGUGCCAUCUGAAGUUCCUUGUACAGCUGUCCACCUACUUAUUCAGUAAAACCUGAGGAUAUGGCAUUAUCUUUUAUACUUUAAACUCAUCUUUUUUUUACUCAGAGUAAAUUGUCAUUGUCAGAAUCAUUGUCUCCCAUGUCUGAUAGUGUUAUUUUCAACCGGAGAGAAAAGAAGGACAGUAGAACAGAAAACAAGUGCUUAAAUCUGAAAGGAUAGUUUUCUUAAAAUCAUUUGUAUGCUAUGCCUAACCAUUUUUUUUUUCUUUUGACAUCUUCAAUACACCUCUUUGUUUCCCUUCCCUUGAAUGAGUUCUACUUUAAGCAAACAUGAUCAGAUAAAUCCUCUCAAGCACUCUUUCACACAGUUGUGAUAUUUAAGAGAAUUUAAGAGUACAUGAAACCGGAAACAUCUUUUUUUCUUCUCCUGUCAAGAGUAUAUAUAUUGCUUAACUUAAUGGAUCCAAAAUAAAAAGAUGAUAGGUUUUUAUUUUAAUUCUGACUUAGUAAAAAUGCAGUGACACAUACUUCUUUGUUUGAAACCUGUCUCUAUCUUUACUCUUAAGAAGUGUUCUUCAGUUAAUGUGAAAUAUUUUAUUUCUCUUGUUUUUAUUCCCAGACUUGUUCCUUACUACCUCAAAUCCUGACAUUCAGUUUGAGACUUGGAUAAAUAAGGAUGGGAACUUCUCUAAACCUGAAAAAAGUAAAGCAAAGCCUAGUGGUGCAGUGGUUGUUGGACAGUCUGUAUUUGCAGAUUUUGGAACAAACUUGACAGAAGCUUAAUAUGGAUUGUGAAUGGCUGUAUCCAAGCUGGAAACAUUCUGAUGAAUGAAAAUAGCUUUCCUUGGCAGCUGUAAGUGUGAAUCCAUUAUUUGAAGAAGAAAUGGCAGAAAAUAAAUAAAAGGAGAUGUAUUUGAGUAAGAUCUUGACUAGUGGUUGAUUUGGGAUAAACUUUGCUUUCUUAAAUUAAGAAAGCAAGUUGAGCAAUAGAAAUUAUUUAAAUAAAUGAAGCUGAAAAAAAUAGCAAUUAAAUGUUUGUGCAACCUUAGCACAAAGUAUUUCUGAAGCACUCAGAUACUGAAUCUCUUUUUUUUUUCCAUGAGAAAAUGUAUAUUUGCGUGUAUCUAAGGUCUACUACAUUUCCAUACAUACUUUUAUAAAUAUAUUAUAUACUCACUUUAAUAUUUUCAUUUUAAAAAUUGACAAAGGUAGGUGUGUGAAUAUAUUUUAAUGUAGUGGAUCACAGACUUGUCUAAAUCAAAACCUUUCAAAUAAGUAGCACCCGUUAUGUCACGGCAAUGGUUUGUGUGUUAAUCUGAUCAAAGAACAGUCAACAAAGUUGUAUUGGCCUUUUUUAAAAUAAAUCAAGAAUAGUUUGUGACAUAUCUAUUACAAAUGGUAUUUCAGUUGAUUAAGGUGAAUAGAGCUGGGCAGUAGAGAAUUCUGCACUUAUUUGGCAGACACGUUACUCCAACAAGUAAGUGCUCUUCAUUCAUUAUUACUUUUUCUAUUCUUCUCAUGUCACUAUGGUAAUUGCAGCGCAGUGGUUGCUAUAGCAAAAAUGAUUAAUCCUCCGUUGCUGUUGUCUGUGUGCUAGCAGAGGCUUUUUAUACAAUAUACUUGCACUGAUUUUAAAGGAAAUAAAAAUGUUGGAAUUCUGAUAAGUAAUUACAAUUAAAAAUUGUUUUCAUAAUUGUAUUUGAAAUUUUGGGGAAAAAAGUAUUUGUUAAAGAAAUAUAAGGAUUUUAGUGAAGCAUUCUGAAAACUAGACCAAUUUUUUUCGAGCAAUGAAAUGAAUAUGAACCAUAUCUGGAUACACAAACCUGUUAUUUUCUUGGUGCACUGAAGAUUAAUGAAAUGUCUUAAAGAGAAUGACCCAAAAGCAAUUAGCAUAAACAUUAUGCUGUUGAUAGAGUCUAAUAAUUCAGUUUUAUCGUGUACUACUUUUAUAACUGCUGUUGACCUAUGGUUGGUUCAUUGGAGAUUGAUAAAUCAUCCUUUGUGAUAUCUGACAGAAGUUUCAUUCCUUGGUCAUUGAUUUUGCUUGGUUUGGUGCGGAGAUGGGGGAAAAAUUGCUGUUUAAUUAUGAAGAUCUUUCCAGAAAGUAACUAGAUGAUAUUGUUGAUAGUGUCCUCAUGAAUAAAUACCAUAAUAAAUACAACAUCUCAUACUUUCUCGGCCAGCUUUUUACUUGCUGUUUGUUAUUAUUUUUUUUUUUUUAGUUGCUGCUCAGUUUUCUUUGUGGUCUUCUCUAGCUUCUGAAAUCAUAUUAUGUGAACUUGCUUACUUUUUUACUUUCUGACAGAGCACAGAUUGGGAUUAUUAAAGUUCUACUCAAGUCUUUCAAAAACAGACGUUAAUAUGGAAGGAUAUAGACAAACCUAACAUCAGAAUUUUAACGUGAAGGAUGGUGUUAUUAAGAUACUUUUUAGUGUUCACAGAACUUUGAAUCAUCCUUAAGAGUUUCUUGCACCUGUUUUUUGAAGUUGUGAUUCAUAUUUUCUAAAAGCAGCUGACAUUGAGUAUUUUAAUAAUGUGUAAUUAUCUUAGUAAUUUAUGAUAAUUAUCUCUGUCAUGACCAUCUAUUUGAAUGCCUAAAGGAAUAUAGACAAAAGAAUUCUAAUCAUUUUAUUACUUCAGAAAAUAAACUUAAGAUAAUCAGCUUUCAAACAAAAUAAAGUUGGUUUGAAUAUCAAAGUCAAUUAUAUUGGACGUUAGAAGUCUCGAGUGUAUUAAUCACAUCUAGUGCUAUGAAGUGCACUGAAAUUACAAGCAAGGAUAACUUAGAGAUUUCCAGCAACUUGAACUGAAAUAGUUUAAAAUCCAUACAGUUGCCCAAAGAUAGACUAGUAGACCUUGAGACCUGAGUAAAGAUUCUCUUCAAACUCUAUAAAUAAAUGUCAUGAAUGUCAUGACUGAUUCUAACAUCUGUUUCUCGUGGUUAGUAGUUAUAUAUCUGUUUCAUUCCACUACAUCUUGCUCAUAUAGUAUUUCUGUACUAGGUUCUGUACAUCUUAUAAACUAUGUGUAUAUGGUCUGUUUGACCAAUGAAGGUGUUUCACUCUUAAGAUGAAGUGUAAAUCUCAUGAGCCACUGGGCCAUACGGAAAUUCAUGUGAACUGCAUGCAGCUUUGCAAGAGUAAUAUUGCUUGCACAGUUAUCAAGAGAAUACAUACUUGUGUUUAAAUAUUAGUAAAUAUCUUGUGUAACUAGGAAAACUUAAUGUACAAGUGUGAACUAAAACUGCGUUCAGUUUUAUAUACCCUCAUAUCUGAGCUAGUUUGGAAAUGGACUGUGUUCAUAAAAUGUGAGAAGAAGCAGUCAAGAUCCUCCUAAAAGACAUAAAAGUGAGCAUUGCUCUGGUGGUGACUAAAAUAAGUUUUACUUGCAGGUUCCUAGAAAGAAUUUUGAAAAUGGUCAUAUUGAUUGAAAAAUAAGUAGGAUCUGCUGCGUGGAUAUCAGAUUUAGCUAACUGUAGAUUACAGUACAUUAUUGAGUAAUGUUAUGUAAGGUGUUUUGCAUUUUGUUGUUGGUGGUGUUUUGUUGUUUGUUUGUUUUUUUUUAAGCUGAAACUUGUUGAACUUAUUUCAUUUUAUCUAAUGAGCUCAUCCAGCCAUUGUCACCAAUGUCAUACUCAUUAGUAAAUAAAGCAGAGCUUCACACAUUUUCACCUGUGAAAACCUGAUCAAGCUGCAGCAAGUGUGCUAAUGAUGCUCCUUUCCUGUUUCUGGUUUCCUCCUCCUUUGUGGAGGAAUUUAAAUUCAAGAUUACAUUUGAGAAUUGAAGGAUGUUUAUUUAAAUUGAGAGUUAAACCAAGCAUGAAGAUGAGAAGAGAUAGCACUGUAUGUCCAAGGUUAGGUUAUUAUUACAGUGAGAU